GCCUCCAUAGCUCAAUUGGCAGAGCAACUGACUCUUAAUCAGUAGGUUCAAGGUUCGAGUCCUUGUGGAGGCA
rnacentral:tRNA from 1 species